UACAGAGGGUGCGAGCGUUAAUCGGAAUUACUGGGCGUAAAGUGUGCGCAGGCGGCCGCGCAAGUCGAGUGUGAAAGCCCCGAGCUUAACUUGGGAACUGCGCUCGAAACUACGUGGCUGGAGUGUGGCAGAGGAAGGUGGAAUUCCACGUGUAGCGGUGAAAUGCGUAGAGAUGUGGAGGAACACCAAUGGCGAAGGCAGCCUUCUGGGCCAACACUGACGCUCAUGCACGAAAGCGUGGGGAGCAAACAGG
rnacentral:rRNA from 1 species